UUGGACUGAGGCGCAUGCACACACACACACACACAUACAUAUACAUAUAUACACUUUUAACAUUUAUGUUAUAUACACACACACACACCAAUUUUCACCCAGUUGGUGAAAUAGGAUCUGACUGUAGUGUUCAUUUGUGAGCCUGGAUUCCACUCUUGGGACUUUCUGAAACUCUCCCUCAGGUACCUAAAUAAAUGUUUUGAAUCUGGCCACAACAAUCUUAAAGAUAGGUGUUGCAGCUCUUACUUUGUAGACUUCUACUGAAUCUAACCUCAAGUCUAAAACCGCAUUACAUAACCCCCCCAGGCCACCUUUUGCCUAAGUUUAGAAAUUCCUUAAUUCCUUGGGUACCUACAUUUUCUGUCUUAAAAUCUCGCACUUAGUGUUGCAUUUGUGUACAUGCUUAGAACCACUCAUGUCUUAGCAGCUCUGUGCCUAGUUCAUACCAAAACCUGAUCACAACUUAGAAGAGAGGAAUUCAUCCUCUUAGGUCCCCUGAUGGGCUCAGUCCUAUAGCUGUACUUAGACAUGCUCAACACACAAACAGGUUCCCCACAAAAUGCAUUGAUAGCGCUUUCUUUUAAUAACAGCUGGUACCAGUGGCUCCCUUUUAUAAUCAUAGACUACAAGUACAUCACUCCCCUAAGAGGCAAGAUACCCUGGUUUCAUUCUCCCCUCUGCCUUCAGGAGUUCAAACUCACCCACAACCCACUAGUUUAUAGAUCAUUCCAGGAAGGAACACUCUGAAUACUUCCUGUUGAAGCUGAGUCACUGUACAGAGAAGAAUUAGCAUUCAUUGGCCCAGAGAAAGGAUGUUGACACAAAUUACAAUUUGGGCAUGCUAAAUCAAUGCAAUGUUAUAAAGUAUUAAAGUUGGAACAUGCUCUGACAGGUGGCACAUUAAGGGUUAAUACCACCUCAGGCCUAAUAUCAUAGAGAAGUGAAAUAGGACUGGACAGGACCUCAAGAGGUCAUCUAGUCCAAUGCCCUUCCUGAGGCAGGAUCAUCCCUAGUCAAACCAACCUAUACAAAUCCAACUUUUUAGCAGAACUACACAUAAAUCCUGACAAAAUCCAGAACAUAACCCAUAACCUGCCACAGAUAAAGCAGGGGGAUCAUGGCAGCCAAUGUCCUGCUACUACAAAGUCUGUUAAUAUGAUGUACAUUCAAGAGAUCCCCAGAAGAGGACCACAUCUUUUGGUACAGAGGAAGGUAAAAACUCCUGCAGUCUAGAACAAUCUAACCACUGCUUCCCAAUCCCAAUGAUGGUGAUCAAUCAGACCCUCAGGGGAGGGGCAAACCCCUCUAGCCAGGAACCUAUGGCUUUAAGUUCCAGCAGGAGCACUGGCAUACCCAAGUCAAAAUCCUCACCCUUGGCUGCAGCCAACACAUAAUGCCUGAGGAAGGCUUUAAGAAAGAGCAAAAUAACCCUGACAUGUAUGUGACAGCCAGAACCAGAGGGGUUAAAUCAAAAAAUAUAUGCUCUUGGAAGCAUCUGGUAAUUGUCUAAGCAGUUAAGAUUAACUAAUGCAAAGCUUGUAAGUUUGCAACCUGCGAGUGGAAUUUGUCUGUCACAAUUUAACCAAAGUGUUGAACCUACUGUGUGCCCUGAUCAUGGGACCACUGAGCCCCCAAAAUAAGCAGAGCUACAAGAUUAGCUGAUCUAACAGGUUUUUUAAAGGUCAAACCAUAACAAGACCUGACCACCUGAUAUAAUCAGCACAUUCCAAGGAAUCCAGGAAUAAAAAAACUAAGGAGUUGAGCUUAGGUAGGUAAUGCUAAUUUCAAACCUCAAAGUAAUGUGGUGUAAUUUGCUUAUUGUGUGAACCUGAGUUUGGGCAAUAACCUUUCAUGAUAAUUUCUAACACCUUUUGAUCCCAAAGGGUAACAGCUAUAGGGGAAGAUUGUGAGUGGCUGUAAAGCUAACAGAUUAGCAUAAAAUAAGGUAUAAAGAAGCACAUAUGUCAGGUGACCAGCGUGAAAGACCAUCGCUGUACCAAGCCUGGACUGCGGACUCCCAGUGUGAGUGAGGACCGGAUCCUGACCAAGGGAUCUUCCCGGUGACCCCUUGGACAGCGGGGAUCAGGGACACCCAACUUCGCUGGAACAACUUGGCGUGCGCCUGGCAUAGAGGAACUGCCGAUAAGUUGCCAGCCCCAUGUGCAAAACUGUCUUUGAAAUCAAUGUGACUGUGAUAAUCUCAAUACAAACUGAAGUCUCAGGCAAUUGAGAGGACCUGACAUUUCCAGGAUCGGGACUUUUACUUCAGAUACAUCAUCUCUCACCAGCUGCCCACAAAAUGCAAUGGAAAAAAAAAACCAAAACAUUGCACACCAUGCAAUGCAAUGGGGAAAAAAAAAAAGCCAAAAGAAAAUAUAAAGGUAGCCAAGUCAUCUAGCAAGCAUUAUACAGAUUAGAAAAAAAUGAUGAAAAAUGUAGGCAAACAAUAUGUCUUCCAUAGGAUUCUUUAAAUAUUUUCUUUUUUUUUUUUACAUAAGACUAAAUGUUUGUUUAGAAGCCUUCCUGCUUUCUGUCUUGUUGCAAGAAAACAUACAGUCAGAGCCAGUAGCAAAUAAAUUAAACUUCACAAUUGAUAGAAAUAUACUUUUUCCAAUCCACCUGAAUAAAGCCACCCACUGGGGGAAAAAAGCUUUUAUAUUGGAUACAAAAGCUCUCCAGGCAACAACUGCACCUUUUGAUCUGCUCCACAUACUUUUUGCUAUUUAGUGGUUUCAGCUUAGUGCUAUACAGAAAGGGAACAAUGAACCUGAAUAUGAUCUUAGACACACUAGCUCAGGAAGGAUUAACUCUAUUUAGAUGUAUACACUAAGACUAGUAUAAAACUAGUACUAAAGAGAUAAGGAUUAGAACCAAUAUUUAAAAUAUGUAUUCUUUAGGCCAGUAUGUGUCUUUUUGCUGUGAUUUCAUAUUCAGCUGGAACAUAAUUUUGCUUGAGUAGGGGCCUCUAUAUUAUUCCUGCCAAUAACCAUGCUAAUUUAAAAUGAAAAUACAAAAUGCAGUUUUCAUUAAUAAAACAGUAGGCUCUUUGUCCUUCAUCAGCUAUAUUGUUCUCCUUUGUCAGGGCUGACUGUUCAAGAAUGCAUAUAUUUAAAAUGCUGGAGAAAUGUUAAUUGUUUAAACAACCACUGCAAGAAACAAGAUACUAAAUGGGAUUUCUGUGUUUUUUCCCUUUUGCUUUAGGAUCAUACACACAAAAUGUAUGCAUAGUAAAUGAAUAGGGCAAAUUCAAUGAUAAUGUGGUAUGCAGCUUUCAGUAUUUACUGCAUUUUCAGUAAACACUGUGAACCAUCUUUCUGAUGCAAAAUUGGAAUCUAUUAUAGAGCAGAGUCAAUAAAAGGGAAAGUAUGCAGAGAAAAAUGUGUUACUCUUCAAUCACCACCUGCCCGGUUUACCUCAUCACUUGCAUGAUCAUGAGUAUACUGAACAACUGUUCAGGUAGAAAGCAAAUUUGCUCAAAUUGAAUGCUAAAAAUAUAUUUAACCCCCCCCCCCCCGAAGCCUACAACAGAGGAAAUGGAGAAAGAUGAUCCAGACUGCCAGAGAGCCUGAAGUCUGUGCCUAAAUAAAAUAAGUCAAAAUAACAGAUCAAAUAAAAAUCAAAACAGGUGCCAGUCACUAAAGUAGAAAGAGCUUCUACAAAAAAGGGAUUGCUAUGGUUCUAGCAGUCUCUUAUACUCCACCAAACUCCCCCUUAAUUACAUUAUAAGAAGGAUGCCACCCUCUUCCCACCCAGUCUUCCAUCACAGUUACAGAGCUCAGGAUAACAAUGCUAGGGGAAAAAAAGCUUUUAAUUUCCCAAAACUGCAUUGUCUACCUCACACAGUGGAGGUGAAGGAAGGGGUCAAAGUUGAAAUGCAGCUCACUGUAUCUCUUGGACUGUGGCUGAAUUAAUUUGAUAGUACACCAACCAGAUACACUAAAGAAAAAGUUACCAUGAAUAAGAAUUUCAAUUGAACAUCAGAAAUGCUCAUUAAGAAAGCAAAACAAUUGAAGAAGAGUCUCUGAAAUAGCCUAGAGAACUUUUUUCAUCAAGAGCAGUCAUUGUUAGUACCCACAUCCUUUUUUACCCCUUUACUUUCUUCAUUCUGAUUAAAAUUCCCAUGCUUUUCAAAGGGGAAGAAGGUCUUGGUCCUCAGAUUAGCAGAAUAGGAUAAGGAAAGUGAGACACAAAAGUAUUCAAGAAUGUGCUCUUCCUGAAUAAGGUAGUUUGUUUGCAUAUAUUUGUACAAAUCAGUGAGACUUGUUCCAUGUUCCAAGAUAUUUCUCCACAUCCAAUGAAGAUUACAGGUUUCCCUCGCUUUUUGUGGGUUCUGUAUGUAUGAAUUCACUCUUAUGCAAUGCCCCUUUCUAUACUAAAAAAUUAUUAAAUGGGAGCCAAACUCA